rnacentral:rRNA from 1 species
UACGAAGGGUGCAAGCGUUGUCCGGAAUUAUUGGGCGUAAAGAGCUUGUAGGCGGUUUGUCGCGUCUGCUGUGAAAUUUCGGGGCUCAACCCCGAACUUGCAGUGGGUACGGGCAGACUAGAGUGUGGUAGGGGAGACUGGAAUUCCUGGUGUAGCGGUGAAAUGCGCAGAUAUCAGGAGGAACACCGGUGGCGAAGGCGGGUCUCUGGGCCGUAACUGACGCUGAGGAGCGAAAGCAUGGGGAGCGAACAGG